rnacentral:rRNA from 1 species
UUGAAGAGUUUGAUCAUGGCUCAGAUUGAACGCUGGCGGCAGGCCUAACACAUGCAAGUCGAGCGGUAGCACAGAGAGCUUGCUCUCGGGUGACGAGCGGCGGACGGGUGAGUAAUGUCUGGGAAACUGCCUGAUGGAGGGGGAUAACUACUGGAAACGGUAGCUAAUACCGCAUAAUGUCGCAAGACCAAAGUGGGGGACCUUCGGGCCUCAUGCCAUCAGAUGUGCCCAGAUGGGAUUAGCUAGUAGGUGGGGUAACGGCUCACCUAGGCGACGAUCCCUAGCUGGUCUGAGAGGAUGACCAGCCACACUGGAACUGAGACACGGUCCAGACUCCUACGGGAGGCAGCAGUGGGGAAUAUUGCACAAUGGGCGCAAGCCUGAUGCAGCCAUGCCGCGUGUGUGAAGAAGGCCUUCGGGUUGUAAAGCACUUUCAGCGGGGAGGAAGGCGAUAAGGUUAAUAACCUCAUCGAUUGACGUUACCCGCAGAAGAAGCACCGGCUAACUCCGUGCCAGCAGCCGCGGUAAUACGGAGGGUGCAAGCGUUAAUCGGAAUUACUGGGCGUAAAGCGCACGCAGGCGGUCUGUCAAGUCGGAUGUGAAAUCCCCGGGCUCAACCUGGGAACUGCAUUCGAAACUGGCAGGCUAGAGUCUUGUAGAGGGGGGUAGAAUUCCAGGUGUAGCGGUGAAAUGCGUAGAGAUCUGGAGGAAUACCGGUGGCGAAGGCGGCCCCCUGGACAAAGACUGACGCUCAGGUGCGAAAGCGUGGGGAGCAAACAGGAUUAGAUACCCUGGUAGUCCACGCCGUAAACGAUGUCGAUUUGGAGGUUGUGCCCUUGAGGCGUGGCUUCCGGAGCUAACGCGUUAAAUCGACCGCCUGGGGAGUACGGCCGCAAGGUUAAAACUCAAAUGAAUUGACGGGGGCCCGCACAAGCGGUGGAGCAUGUGGUUUAAUUCGAUGCAACGCGAAGAACCUUACCUGGUCUUGACAUCCACAGAACUUUCCAGAGAUGGAUUGGUGCCUUCGGGAACUGUGAGACAGGUGCUGCAUGGCUGUCGUCAGCUCGUGUUGUGAAAUGUUGGGUUAAGUCCCGCAACGAGCGCAACCCUUAUCCUUUGUUGCCAGCGGUCCGGCCGGGAACUCAAAGGAGACUGCCAGUGAUAAACUGGAGGAAGGUGGGGAUGACGUCAAGUCAUCAUGGCCCUUACGACCAGGGCUACACACGUGCUACAAUGGCAUAUACAAAGAGAAGCGACCUCGCGAGAGCAAGCGGACCUCAUAAAGUAUGUCGUAGUCCGGAUUGGAGUCUGCAACUCGACUCCAUGAAGUCGGAAUCGCUAGUAAUCGAUCAGAAUGCUACGGUGAAUACGUUCCCGGGCCUUGUACACACCGCCCGUCACACCAUGGGAGUGGGUUGCAAAAGAAGUAGGUAGCUUAACCUUCGGGAGGGCGCUUACCACUUUGUGAUUCAUGACUGGGGUGAAGUCGUAACAAGGUAACCGUAGGGGAACCUGCGGUUGGAUCACCUCCUU